rnacentral:lncRNA from 1 species
GAUUAAUACACUUGCCUAUUGCUGCGUGGACUGUGCUGGGGGGGUCAGGGGGCAGAUAAAUGAAAGAGGAUAGCUGCACGCGGCGUUGACUGGCUGAUUAAUCACUGCCUGUUUUCUAUAACUCAUGGCAGAUGGCAGGAGCUGGCUGCAGGCCCUCGUUGGGAAUGAGGUGCUGCAGGCAGGAUGAACAGGGGUCGGGGGAGACCCUGGAAGGCCCCAGUUGUGUCGUGUUUUUUUUCCUCGGCCCUACAGACCUCCGUGUCCACCCCACCCCC